rnacentral:rRNA from 1 species
UACAGAGGGUGCGAGCGUUGUCCGGAAUCACUGGGCGUAAAGGGCGCGUAGGCGGUCUGGUAAGCGUGUGGUGAAAGCUCGGGGCUCAACCCUGAGUCGGCCAUGCGAACUGCGAGACUGGAGCAGAUCAGAGGCAGGCGGAAUUCCGGGUGUAGCGGUGGAAUGCGUAGAGAUCCGGAAGAACACCGGUGGCGAAGGCGGCCUGCUGGGAUCUUGCUGACGCUGAGGCGCGACAGCGUGGGGAGCAAACAGG